rnacentral:lncRNA from 1 species
CUAGCUUUUAAUUUACUAUAAAACACGGAAGGAACAAACAAGGUAAGCUAUAAAGCUUAGUAAGUUCGUAUGAUAUAAACUUAUCUAAUCACAAAUAUAUCAUUCAAUAAUUUAAGCAUAAUAACAUGUAACUCUUAAUUACUAACAAACCUUUCACCUUCAUGUUCAUAUGUUAUAUGUAAACUUCAUGACUUCUUCAGUUUAAAAUACAUAUACAUACACAAUAUGCCGUUGAAUACUUGAUAUUUCGCACACUAAGUGCCAUACCAAAUGUCUCGCACACUAAGUGUCAUAUUCAAUGUCUCGC